GCUAAUCACAGCCUGCCCAGCUGCUGGCAGCUCCUCUGCAGGAAGCCCAGAUCGAUGCCCGCUCUCCAGCACUGCUAAGGAGAGAAAGCCUGGACAGCGCCUCCAGUCACUACCACCAGAGCGGUCACUGCGGCAGCCACGAUGAGGAAGCAGGAUCACAAAAGUCGAAUAAUUAGAAAGUGGAGAAAGCAAAAUUUGAAGACGGAGGCCACCAAAUGACAGAGCAGAAGCUCUGGAGUCAUCAUGCAUAGCCCACCCAGGUUGGAAAUUGACAAUUCUCUGGAGAUUAAACUUCUUUUAUGUGGAUA
rnacentral:lncRNA from 1 species